UGCCAGUGCCACACACUCCGAGUCCCUUCAUCAUCACAGGCAGCAGGAGAGGAGACCCGCAGGUGCCACGUGCCAGCCAGACUCUGCCACCUUGUUGUGACAGGCUCAGUCCAGUCCACCACAGGCAGGAGGAGAAUCGCUCCACCACCAGCAGCCAGCAGUGCCACCACCACCACCACCACCACCGUCGUCGUUAUCAUCGUAUCAUCAUUAAUCAGAGUUUGACAACAUCAUCGUCACGUCAAGACUUGUGUCAUCCCUACUCACAAAUUCACAUAGAUGCCUGGCAUGCAUUGCAUUUGCUAGUAAAUAAAAAUGGCAGAAGUAGAACAAAAGGAACGA